GCCUAAAUUUAGUUCAGUCGGAAGGAGCUUGGGGCUAGUGACCAUAAGGUCCCAGGUUUGAAUCUUGCUAAAGGCA
rnacentral:tRNA from 1 species